rnacentral:rRNA from 1 species
GCAUAUCAAUAAGCGGAGGAAAAGAAACUAACAAGGAUUCCCCUAGUAGCGGCGAGCGAACCGGGAUGAGCUCAAAUUUGUAAUCUGGCGUCCUCCGGGCGUCCGAGUUGUAAUCUAUAGAAGCGUCUUCCGUGCCGGACCGCGUCCAAGUCCCUUGGAACAGGGCGUCAAAGAGGGUGACAAUCCCGUGCUUGAUGCGACGACCGGUGCACUGUGAUACGCUCUCUACGAGUCGAGUUGUUUGGGAAUGCAGCUCAAAGUGGGUGGUAAAUUCCAUCUAAAGCUAAAUAUUGGCGAGAGACCGAUAGCGAACAAGUACCGUGAGGGAAAGAUGAAAAGCACUUUGGAAAGAGAGUUAAACAGUAUGUGAAAUUGUUGAAAGGGAA